CCCCGUGAACAAACAAAAUAUCCAUUAAGUUCAAUAUCAUCGAUGUCGUUAACGUGACUGUAGUGAACUGUUUCCAGAGGACGAGUGUGCUGAACCAUGUGUUGUGACCUUGAACAUCACUGUCAUCCCAUUCUGAUGUCUUCCUGCCUUGGAGAAGAGAAGCUGGUAGCUCCAUUUCCCAGAAUCUUCUCUACAUGGUUCCAAGAGAGAUCUUCCAGGGAGAGGCUCUUAGGUGUUCUAAACGAGUCCGAACAGUCGGAAACAAAUACUGACUUGCCCACGAUUCUCCCUUCUGUUCACGGCUGUCUCAAGUCUCCAUCUCCAGAACAAACCUCUCUGCUGAGUUCCAGACACCAGAGGACAUCCCCAGACUAAUGACUCAGGGGCUGGAACUGGCUGGAACUCUUCCUUCCGUGGUUGGUAGUGCUGUCCAGGCAAGGUGCUCCAGGCCAUAUUGGGUCCUACAAGGGCCCUUAAAGGUCAGCCUUGAAUGGAAUGUUUAACAUGACCAGAAAUCAAAUUAUCAUUCUCAUUCUGCAUACUCUGGAUCAAUUUGACCAACAGUCAUUGUGAGUAAAACACAAUAACCACUUUUGAGAGAGUCCCUGGAAGCCAGUGUGCAUGAGCAGCACGAUGGAUGAUGCAACAUCAUGAGUAAUGAUGUCAGGAGCAUGAGAUAAAUGGUUCUAGAAAA